AGUGAACGCUGGCGGUAGGCCUAACACAUGCAAGUCGAACGGCAGCACAGGAGAGCUUGCUCUCUGGGUGGCGAGUGGCGGACGGGUGAGGAAUACAUCGGAAUCUACUCUGUCGUGGGGGAUAACGUAGGGAAACUUACGCUAAUACCGCAUACGACCUACGGGUGAAAGCAGGGGACCUUCGGGCCUUGCGCGAUUGAAUGAGCCGAUGUCGGAUUAGCUAGUUGGCGGGGUAAAGGCCCACCAAGGCGACGAUCCGUAGCUGGUCUGAGAGGAUGAUCAGCCAGACUGGAACUGAGAGACGGUCCAGAGUCCUACGGGAGGCAGCAGUGGGGAAUAUUGGACAAUGGGCGCAAGCCUGAUCCAGCCAUGCCGCGUGGGUGAAGAAGGCCUUCGGGUUGUAAAGCCCUUUUGUUGGGAAAGAAAUCCAGCUGGCUAAUACCCGGUUGGGAUGACGGUACCCAAAGAAUAAGCACCGGCUAACUUCGUGCCAGCCGCCGCCGUAA
rnacentral:rRNA from 1 species